AUGCGUGAUCACUUCGUUGCCAACUUCCAGGCCACUCGCGAUUGCCCCCCGGCCGAGGGUGACCUGCGCCGCAUCAAGCAACAGCCGGGAGAGACCCUGCAGAAGUACAUACAACGCUUCAACAACGUGCGUCUCAAGAUCCCCAGGGUGACGGACGAGGCCAUCGUCUCAGCGUUUUCUGAUGGUAUCUGCGACAUCAAGAUGAAGGAGGAGCUCGCCAUCCAUGAGGAGUUGUGCAUGACUUUGAAACUGUUCAACAUAGCAACCAAUUGUGCAAGAGCAGAGGAGGGGCUAUUGGGGAUCGUAGCAGAAAUUCAAAAUUUUCCUACGUGUCACCAAGAUCAAUCUAUGGAGAGACUAGCAACGAGAGAGAGGAGUGCAUCUUCAUACCCUUGA
rnacentral:rRNA from 1 species